UUUUUAGCGAAAGUGGUUGGGGCGGCCUCACAGAGAAGGGAGUCUGAGCUGAUGUGCAGAAGGUAAGGGAAGGAGCGAUCCAGACACCCAGGGAAGGGUGGUCCAGGAAGAAGGAACAGCAGAUGCAAAGGUCCUGUGGCAGAAACAUGCUGGGGAUGCUUGAGCAACAGCAAGGAGGUGAAGCGGGGUUGAGGAGACGGUGAGGGUCAGCCACAGAGGGCCUGGUGGGCCGUGGUGAGGACUCGGGCUUUUAUUCUGGGUGAGUCCGGGGACGUGACCUGACUUGGGUUUUCACAGGAUCCCUCCGGCUGCUGAGUGGAGAACAAAUUGCAGGAGGCGAGGAUGGGAGCAGGGAGCCCAGAGAGGAGGCAAUGGUGGCAGGGGAAGAGGCGAAAAGUGGUUGGAGACUGGAUUUGAUGGCAAAGCAACGGGGUCUGCAGACGGACUGACCAGGAAGCGUAGGGGAAAGAGCAGAGUCAAGGGCCCGCUGGAAUCUGAGCCGGACAGCAGGGCAGAGCAGCUAAAAGUGGGCGGCCAGGCAGGAUGUGAAGUGCACACGCGCCCUUACACCAGCUCUCUUGGUUGGUCAAGCAACUGCUCCAGCUAAGGCCAUUUCUCGCUAAGGUAUUCUGAUGGUCCCAAAGCUACUAAUUAUCUUAUUAGGAGAGGGGUUGGCCUCCCGCCCAGGACCAUGCAGGGAGGGCUGCUGCUCAGAGCCUCAGAGACAGAGAAAAAUAGCUGAGAUAUGCAAAGCCUUCAACUCUUCCUCACCCAGCAGCUCUUUGUGUGUCUUGUUUCAGAACCUGGCCUUUCCCCAAAGUCUAAACUGAGAUUGGCGGUUUACAUCUGACUUUGAAUCCUUAAACCAUCUGGGGAUAUACGGUGUAAGGGGACUCGGGUUCGAGCCCUGGUCUGGGAAGAUCCCACAUGCCACGGAGCAACUAAGCCUGUGUGCCACAACUACUGAGCCUGCGAUCUAGAGCCUGCGAGCCGCAACUACUGAGCCCACGUGCCACAACUACUGAAGCCCGUGUGCCUAGAGCCCGUGCUCCGGAGCAAGAGAAGCCACUGCAACGAGAAGCCCGCGCACCACAAGGAAGAGUAGCCCCCGCUCGCCGCAACUAGAGAAAGCCCGUGCAGCAAAGAAGACCCAACGCGGCCAAAAAUAAAUUUAAAAAAAAAAGUAAAAUCAGUGAUGUUUUCAGCAGAACUGGCAAAAAGUUGACUGAAACUUUAAUUAUCAAGAACAUCAUUCAAAAUAGAGACUUUAGGUUUUAUCAUUAGUAAUGACUAUUGAUAAAUAUAAUGCUAUUUAAAAUGUCUGACUUUUUAAAAUCUUCCUCACCUGUU